UUCACCGCGAGGUCGAAUUUGACCGCCGUAAUAAUAAAAACAAUAUCACGUCCCGGUGAAAUUUUAUGAUAUAUCUGUGUUACCUUCUACUGUGAAUGUAUGGGCGAAAAAUGACUGCCGAAUUCAACAUAUUAGUUUGACCUCGUUUCCAGUGUUUGCUGCGGAAAAAUGCCAAUGAACUAUAAAAGGAAAAACUCAAAUCGUGGAAAUUAUGCUAAAGAAAAUCUCAGACGGGCAAUUAAAGAUGUCAGAAAUGGUUGUUCUGUCAAUGGCGCUUCAAAAAACUAUGGAAUUCCUAGAAAAACCCUUAAAAGGAAAAUAAAAAAUAAUGUGUCCACAACUGGUAAAAUGGGACCGGAUAGCAUGUUGGGUGAGGAAAAUGAAAACAAAUUGGUUCAACAUAUUAAAAAUGCGCAAAAAUAUGGUUUUCCAAUGACGGUACCCGAUGUCCGAAAACUUGCGUACGAUUUCGCGGAGAGUCUACAGAUCAAUCAUAAGUUCAAUAAAGAAAAGGGAGCUGCCGGUUCUGAUUGGUUUAGGUCUUUUUUAAGAAGACACCUCGAUUUGUCCAUUCGCAAGGCAGAAGGUGUAUCCCUAGAGCGAGGUAAGGGCAUGAACCGUUUAGAUGUAGGAAAUUAUUUCAAACUUCUGCAAAAAAUACUGGAAGAAAAUAAUCUUUUCGAGAAACCUUGGUGAGAGGGUGAGACAAUCUCGUGCAUCGCAUGCUGUAAUGUAGAGGGUGUUUUUCUGCCACCAGUCUGCAUAUUUAAAGGCAAAAAUUUGAAGAGUGAGUGGACCGAUUCAAUGCCGCCUGGCUCACAUAUUGUCAUGUCUCAACAUCAACGUCAAAUCAGCCUAUGUUACUACUAACAUUUUUUUGGAUUGUUUCAAAAACCACUUCUUGCUUCGUAAAAGUGAAGAGGAGAAGAUAUUACUAAUUCUUGAUGGGCAUGCAUCUCAUUGUUCCUGUGUUGAACUUCUAGAAACAGCUGAGGCAAAUAAUGUCGUUUUGUUGUGCCUACCACCGCAUACCACUCAUUAUUUGCAACCUCUCGAUAGAGCUUUUUUUAAGUCUUUGAAGUCAUUCUACUAUCAAACUUAUAGAGAAUGGAUGCACAGUCACCCGGGAAGGAAAUUAGGGCGUCUUCAAUUUGGUGAAGUUCUAAUGAAAAGCUGGGGAAAGUCAGCGACCGAUGGAAAUGCAAUGUCCGGCUUCAGAGCCACUGGCAUAUUUCCAUUUAACCCCGAUUCCAUACCGGAUUAUGCAUACAUAGUUUCUGAUCGAAUAAUAAACAGCGAAACCACAGGACGCCAGGAAA